UUUCGAAUGCUCAAGAAGUUCUAGUUCAACUUCGCUCACAGAUUGUGAGGCUAUGCUGUAAUCCGCACCGAUGUCUGUUGGCCGCUCGCCGAUAUUCCUCUUAUCCUUGUUGGUAGGUCCCAGUUAUCAUAGAAAUCCUAAACAACCUCCAAUUUGCCAACUCUCAAUACCUCUUUAAACUGUUGGCAGAUAUCCUCUAUCCGUACAGUCAGAUUAACACAACCACGCAUGCAUUCAGCAUACUCAA
rnacentral:lncRNA from 1 species